rnacentral:rRNA from 1 species
AUGGGGAAGAAGGGGGUUGUCCUGGCGGCACUGCUGCUGGUGAUGGUCAGCAUGGUGGUCGUGAUGACUGCCGACGGCCAGGGCGUCGGUGGCGAGGUCCGCAAAGCGGCCGAAGGAGUCGGGACGGGCGUGGACACCGCUGCUCGGGGCGCGGGAGCAGCCGUGAAGUCGGCGGCUGAGGGCGUCGGCGAGGUCGUUAGCGGUAGCUGCGUCGGUGACCAGUUCGGGUCGGCGGCCCAAGGAGCCGGCAAAGGAGCAGAGUCGGGCGCGGGCGGCGGUGCUGAAAAAGCGGGGUCCGGCGCGAGCCAGGGAGCUAAGGGCGCCGGCGAAGGUGCUGAUAAAUCUUACUCCGGCGGCGGCGGCGGUUCGUUGAGCCUGCCGUGUACCGGGGGAUCAUCGCCGCCGUGA